rnacentral:sRNA from 1 species
CUAUCAGAGUUAGUCAAUGUCAUUACCCUUUUAAUUAGGAUAUGGGAAUACUAAUGUUGA